AACGAACGCUGGCGGCAUGCCUAACACAUGCAAGUCGAACGCUUCCGGGGGUUUCGGCCUCCGGGGGAGUGGCGCACGGGUGAGUAGCGCGUGGGAACCUGCCCUGUUGUGGGGGAUAACCGAGGGAAACUUCGGCUAAUACCGCAUACGCCCGAGGAGUGAUCUUCGGGGAAAGAUUUAUCGCAGCAGGAGGGGCCCGCGUCGGAUUAGCUGGUUGGUGGGGUAACGGCCCACCAAGGCGAUGAUCCGUAGCGGUCUGAGAGGAUGAUCAGCCACACUGGGACUGAGACACGGCCCAGACUCCUACGGGAGGCAGCAGUGGGGAAUAUUGGACAAUGGGGGCAACCCUGAUCCAGCAAUGCCGCGUGAGUGAUGAAGGCCUUAGGGUUGUAAAGCUCUUUCGCCCGCGACGAUGAUGACGGUAGCGGGAGAAGAAGCCCCGGCUAACUUCGUGCCAGCAGCCG
rnacentral:rRNA from 1 species